UACGUAGGGUGCGAGCGUUAAUCGGAAUUACUGGGCGUAAAGCGUGCGCAGGCGGCUUUGCAAGACAGAUGUGAAAUCCCCGGGCUCAACCUGGGAACUGCAUUUGUGACUGCAAGGCUAGAGUACGGCAGAGGGGGAUGGAAUUCCGCGUGUAGCAGUGAAAUGCGUAGUUAUGCGGAGGAACACCAAUGGCGAAGGCAAUCCCCUGGGCCUGUACUGACGCUCAUGCACGAAAGCGUGGGGAGCAAACAGG
rnacentral:rRNA from 1 species